CCGCCACCGCCACCGCCACCGCCCACCGAAAACCACCAUCAAGUAAAUGGAUCGCGUCUCGUGAAGACAUCCUCGCAGCAAGUGAUCUAUCGCUUGUUGCGAGGAUUUCCGCACCAGCAACAAAAUCAUGUAAGCGGUCGCAAUGAUCCCGUCGAAGCGCCUCCGCAACAAGAUCGCCGGAUUCUCCACACAUCUGAUGAAUCACAUCCAGAAGGGCUAUCCGUGGGAUCUCACUCAAGCUGCAGCAGGAGGAGCGCGAGCGGCGUAUGGAUGUCGUGCCCGACGAGUCCGCCAUUAGAGUCGACCGCAUCGAGAUGGGUGGAAGAUCAAACAUUAUAGGCGAGAGCUGUUUUGCUGUUUCAUUUUCCCAGAGAGACGUGCUGGUGCUUUGCGUCCAGCUUGGAGCAUAAGUUUGUUCCAUUACCUUCGGCAGGUCGCGAUUUUUCUGGUGGUAAUCAGUUGUGCUGGUGAUCCUUUCUAAAAAACGGAUUGAAUACAUAUUGCCAUGUAGAGGAGUCAGAUUUUGAAAGAUGGGUGGCACAUCAAAUGUUAGAAACGAGCUGCUUUGCUGUUUCAUUUUUCCCGAGAGACCUGCUCUGCUGGUUCUUUAAUUGCAAAAACACUUGCCCUUUUCAUUGCAUCUCCGUAGGAAGAAAAUGAGAUGGAUAGGUGAGUUUCGGGGCCAUGCAAAUAAUCAUGGUAAUGAAUAUAAAUUGGAAACCAGUAAAAAAAAAGGUGCUUUAACAUGUUAGUUCAAGCUUAAAGAAUUUGUAAAUGGACUCUAAUACAACUUCUUUAAUUAACUGGGGCCUAUAAAUAAUCCUACACUAGGCCCAACAUAUGAUCAUCAA